CUGCAACUGAUUAAGCUGACUAGGUUCCUUUGCUAAUGGGUGCACAGUGCGCAGUGGCUGUGGACAGCAACCUCUUCAGUAGUGUACACAAGCUGUUGCUCAUAUGGGCUGCCCUAAGAGACCUUGGAGACACUC
rnacentral:snoRNA from 1 species